rnacentral:rRNA from 1 species
AUUUGUUGGGCGGCGAGCGGCGGACGGGUGAGUAAUGCUUGGGAAUAUGCCUUAUGGUGGGGGACAACAGUUGGAAACGACUGCUAAUACCGCAUGAUGUCUACGGACCAAAGUGGGGGACCUUCGGGCCUCACGCCAUAAGAUUAGCCCAAGUGGGAUUAGCUAGUUGGUGAGGUAAUGGCUCACCAAGGCGACGAUCCCUAGCUGGUUUGAGAGGAUGAUCAGCCACACUGGGACUGAGACACGGCCCAGACUCCUACGGGAGGCAGCAGUGGGGAAUAUUGCACAAUGGGCGCAAGCCUGAUGCAGCCAUGCCGCGUGUGUGAAGAAGGCCUUCGGGUUGUAAAGCACUUUCAGUAAGGAGGAAAGGUUAAGUGUUAAUAGCACUUAGCUGUGACGUUACUUACAGAAGAAGCACCGGCUAACUCCGUGCCAGCAGCCGCGGUAAUACGGAGGGUGCGAGCGUUAAUCGGAAUUACUGGGCGUAAAGCGUACGCAGGCGGUCUGUUAAGCGAGAUGUGAAAGCCCCGGGCUCAACCUGGGAACUGCAUUUCGAACUGGCAAACUAGAGUGUGAUAGAGGGUGGUAGAAUUUCAGGUGUAGCGGU